rnacentral:lncRNA from 1 species
AUUUAUCUUACCCUUUUUUUUUUCUCCUCAAUAACACAGAAGCAUCCAGAAUACAACUCUUAAGUGUUGUUAAGGAAUUAAACAAAAUCCAAAAGAUGUACACAGUUCCUGGCCCAGCAAUGUGCACUCAACUGGUAUUAGUGUCUAUUAAUACCACUGAAUACCUCUCCUGUGUUUGUCAGAAAACUUUACACACACACACACACACACAUGCACGCACACACAUGCGCACACACAGACAGUGCCAAAUAGACAGGAAUAACUGACAAGUACCUGUUCUCUUAUCUUCUAGUUAGGAGUACUUCUAAACCUGAAGCUUGCAUGAAUGAUGAAAAUGGUUUGCUGGACCUGCAGGUCACCAGCACCUCUGCCUACUACACCUACCUCCUGCUGCUCCUCAAGAGUGCCGUCCACGGGGCCCUCAACACCUACUGUCUGUGCAGAAGGUACCCUGACUUCUGUUAUGGAAAGAGCACCUGACAGAUGGAGACACACAGGACCACAGUGUCUCCACCAUUCCUGUCCCCAGAAGCGUCUACUGAGGGUCUGCAGCAUUUGAUGGGCUCAGCUUUUAAAAGCUGUGUACACACUGUCAGUAUGACAUAAGGAUUUCUCAACCGGUGGGCAAACUGCAUGGCUUUCUCUGUCACAAAGCACAGCUCAUGGCACCUUGAGCCCCAUUCUAUGGUCCCCACACCAACUCCAACCAGCCAGGUUCUCAGGGCCUUGAUGUGCACAGCUUGCUGCUGCUCAUGAGGACUUCAGUGUCUGUGGACGGUAUCAUCCUCUGGGAGCCUCCACUCCACCCAUCUGACAUAGCCUCUGUGCUAUAGCUCUGCUUUGUUCAUAGAGGACACAAUAAAUAAAAACUAUCCAAAA